AUUGAACGCUGGCGGCAGGCCUAACACCUGCAAGUCGAGCGAGCGGCGGACGGGUGAGUAAUGUAUGGGGAUCUGCCCGCUAUAGGGGGAUAACUACUGGAAAGGUGGCUAAUACCGCAUACUAUCGGCUGAACCCAUAUGGGAUUAGCUAGUUGGUGGGUGGACGGCUCACCAGGGCGACGAUCCUUAGCUGGUUUGAGGGGACGACCAGCCAUCCUGGUACGGAGACACGGCCCAGAGUCCUACGGGAGGCCGCAGUGGAGAAUUUUGGACAAUGGGAGAAACCCUGAUCCAGCCAUCCCGCGUGUGUGAGGAAGGCCUUCGGGUUGUAAAGCACUUUUGGCAUGAAAGCGGUACCUGCAGAAUAAGCACCGGCUAACUACGUGCCAGCAGCCGCGGUAAUUC
rnacentral:rRNA from 1 species